rnacentral:rRNA from 1 species
UACGUAGGGUGCAAGCGUUGUCCGGAAUUAUUGGGCGUAAAGAGCUCGUAGGCGGUCUGUCGCGUCGGCUGUGAAAACUCGGGGCUCAACCCCGAGCCUGCAGUCGAUACGGGCAGACUAGAGUCCGGUAGGGGAGACUGGAAUUCCUGGUGUAGCGGUGAAAUGCGCAGAUAUCAGGAGGAACACCGGUGGCGAAGGCGGGUCUCUGGGCCGAUACUGACGCUGAGGAGCGAAAGCGUGGGGAGCGAACAGG